AAUGUACGAAGUCGUUGACUUUUUUCCAACGUUUGAUCAUUCGUUUUAUUCAAAAAAUUUAUGUAAUUAUUAUUUAUUUUAAUGUGACUUGAUUCAUCAUCAAAUAUUCUUUAAGCAUGACAUAAGUAUUUUUAUAUUUACUAAAAAAAAUUGAAUAAAACGAAUGGUCAAACGUAGGUCGAAAGUCAACAGCGUCAUACAUU
rfam:Oryza sativa Japonica Group DNA, chromosome 8, cultivar: Nipponbare, complete sequence.